rnacentral:rRNA from 1 species
UGGGGAAUUGUUCGCAAUGGGCGCAAGCCUGACGACGCAACGCCGCGUGGAGGAUGAAGAAUUUCGGUUCGUAAACUCCUUUCGAUCGGGACGAAUCGGUCACGGCUUAAUACGCCGUGGCAUUGACGGUACCGAGAGAAGAAGCCCCGGCUAACUCCGUGCCAGCAGCCGCGGUAAUACGGGGGGAGCAAGCGUUGUUCGGAUUUACUGGGCGUAAAGGGCGCGUAGGCGGCCAGCACAAGUCAGUUGUGAAAUCUCCGAGCUUAACUCGGAAAGGUCAACUGAUACUGUGCGGCUAGAGUGCAGAAGGGGCAACUGGAAUUCUUGGUGUAGCGGUGAAAUGCGUAGAUAUCAAGAGGAACACCUGCGGCGAAGGCGGGUUGCUGGGCUUACACUGACGCUGAAGUGCGAAAGCCAGGGGAGCGAACGG